GCCUGGAUAGCUCAGUUGGUCAGAGAGUAGUGCUGAUAAUGCCAAGGUUUCAGGUUCAAGCCCUGUACGGGACA